rnacentral:rRNA from 1 species
AUGUUACCGCCCCGCUCGGCGUGGCCCUACCCGAUCUGCCUCCGCCACCUUCAUGUUUGUGAAGCCGCGGAUAAGGUAUGCCGCCGUUCGCGAGGACACCACUUCGCGUACAAGCAGCUGUACAAGGCCACCGAUGGGUAUCAAGAACAGGCAGUUGCUGGGCAUCGGUGGCUUCGGUACGUACAAGAGGGCGUGCUCCCAAAGUCAUAUCAUAUCGCGGUGAAGCGGGUGUCGCACGACUCCAAGCAGGUGAAGCGGUUGGAUCGCCAAUGGAGAAGUGUUCCGAGCUCCUCGGUCCCGGCGGCGGUGGCGGGCUGGCGUCGACCACUACAGCGGACGGGGACACGGGCCAUCAGCCCCUGCAGUUGCUUCUCCGGCAACGACCUGCGACUGCGAGGCUGCGAGUACGGAGCGGCGGUGGCGGCCCACAGCACGCCUAGGAGAUGCUCCUCACAGCCGGCGGCCAGAUCGCCGAUGGAGCAGUUAGUGCCCUGA